CUCAGCUUCAUUGCUUUUCUGAUGCUAGUGAAAUUGGCUACGGAAUGGUAUUUUAUUUACGCCUUGUUGAUGAUGAAGGUAUGAUUCAUUGUUCUUUUGUACUCGGCAAGUCUCGAGUAGCACCAUUGAAAAAGGUAACUAUACCUAGGAUGGAACUUACAGCCGCAACACGAGCAGUAAAACUAAGUAAAGUAAUAUUAGAGGAGUUAAACUACAGCAUAGACAAAACAUUCUUUUGGACAGACAGUAUGUCAGUAUUACGCUAUAUCAGCAAUCAGAAUAUACGUUUCCACACUUUCGUUGCAAACCGCUUAGAAAUCAUUCAUGAAGCUACAAUUGUUGAUCAGUGGAAGUAUAUAAAUACAAAGCUUAAUCCCGCCGAUUAUGCAUCUAGGGGAAUGUCAGUUUCAAAGUUUGAAUCAAACCCAGACUGGUUCAAUGGACCAGAGUAUCUUUGGAAACCAGAAAUAGAAUGGCCAGAAGGGCGCAUAGACAAGACUAUUAUUGAUGAAGAUAAAGAAGUGAAACGAGUCGUUAACACUACAAUAUUGUCAAGCGAACAUCA
rnacentral:lncRNA from 1 species